rnacentral:rRNA from 1 species
UGGGAAUAUUGCACAAUGGGGGAAACCCUGAUGCAGCGACGCCGCGUGAAGGAAGAAGUAUCUCGGUAUGUAAACUUCUAUCAGCAGGGAAGAUAGUGACGGUACCUGACUAAGAAGCCCCGGCUAACUACGUGCC